UACGUAGGGGGCAAGCGUUGUCCGGAUUUACUGGGCGUAAAGAGCGCGCAGGCGGUCGUUCAAGUCGAGUGUGAAAGCCCCCGGCUCAACUGGGGAGGGUCACUCGAUACUGAUCGACUCGAAGGCAGAAGAGGGAAGCGGAAUUCCCGGUGUAGUGGUGAAAUUCGUAGAUAUCGGGAGGAACACCGGUGGCGAAGGCGGCGACCUGGGACAAUACUGACGCUGAGGUGCGAAAGCGUGGGGAGCAAACAGG
rnacentral:rRNA from 1 species